CCUUAUAUAAGUUUACGAAAGCUUUUAAGAUGAUUCGAGGUCGAAUAAGGACCAAUUUGUAAAGUUUUCAAAUUAUCAGGACAUCGCCACUUCGGGGUUCCUCGUCGAACGUAACUCACUGAUUUGAUCUUGUUGCGACGUUGAGAGUACGUCGUCACGACGUAACUCACUAUUUCCAAAAGGGCCAUAUGGUACCAAGUUAAAACACCUGAAACAAUUGUGUAAAAGCCUCAAUUCAACCAUUUCAAAUGACAUACCAAUUCCAUACAUGCCAAAGUAUACCAAAAUCUUGAUUCAAGUUAAUGUUAAUUGACCAAACUUACACUCUGACCAUUUUUAUACAAAAUCGGCUAAAAACCUAGGUACAUACUAUUUCUCGAAACGAAAGGAACUAUAACCAAAGUAAACAUCUGAAGUAUAUAAAUUGCACCCAAUGCUCAUCGAUAUAACCAAAGUAAACGGUAUGCCCAACACUCAUGGGAACAUCUAAAGAAAUAUAACGCUAUCGACUUAUAAUCGAAAUAUAACCUGCACACAAUCUAUCCAACAACGUGCCAACUAUAUUUGACUCUGCCCAAACAGUUAAUAAAGUAUCAAUGUUCCAACUGCAUUAUACAAUGCAAUUCAUAUAUCAUUUCACAUUCAAUAGCAUAGCCUCAUUUCAAUUAAUUAUCAAUUCAUAAAUAUCUCAUAUCACAUAGCAUGUUUCAUUCCAUUUUCAUAUCACAUAUAAUGUAUUAUUUAUAUCAUAAUAUUUUCUAUUUCAUUCAAUCUAGUCUAAUCUCCCAAUAUUCAAUACAAAUCAAUUCAUACGACAAGCAUAAGUUUACCUCGAUAGUCAACCACGCAUUCAAUAUGUAUAUGCAUAUAAAUAUAAUGAUCUCGAAUCAUAAAAUUACAACUCAAAUUCUCUUGUCACUUGUCAAAAACUCUCAAUUUUUCUUUGCCUCUUGACAACCCGACAUCUUCUUUAGCUACGUUCAAAAAUUCAAUAAAUAAAAUAAUAUCAUAUUUCAUUCAAUUCACAUUCAAAUAUAAUAUCAUAUUUCGAACUCUCUGGAGAAGAAGAGGAUGUAGAUGAAGAAAGCUCCGCAUGUUGCAGUCGUUGAGCAAAUUGAAGUCUGAAAAUAGUGAAAUUGGGAAAUUUUUAAGCUUUUCAACCAUUUUGUGCUAGAGAUUUUGAGAAAAUGAGAACUAGAACUCCUAAUAAGUUUCUAUAAAUUUGGUUCUGGAUUUAAGGUUGAAUACCUUCAAAUUAAUUGAUGAAUGAUUGUCAUGUUUAACUGUCAGGACGAAAGAGGCUCUAGUAGCUGAACAAGCUAAGUUGACUAGUUUAAGGAAGCAAGAUGAGUCUCUGCACUUGACUUUUGGGUGGUUGUUGGUGUUGUGUUGUUAGCUUAAACCACAUUCUUGAUUACUUUGAGCUGUGUUUUAAAGCAUGGUUGUGUAUGAAUAUAGAGGUUAAGUAAGUUGUACAUGCAUAGGUUUGCAAGCAUAUUUGUUGAAUGUAAUAUGAUUGCGAAUAGACAAUUAGAUACAUGACGAAUCAUAGGUGAUAGUCACUAGCUCAUUAAAUCGUAUGUAUUAUACGAUUAUAUUAUAUGUGGAGCAUGGAGGUAAUUUAUUUUGACGAGGUAGAGGAAGUUAGGAAGAAUCAGCGGAGUUGGAGGAAUUAGCAGAUGGAUGGGCGAAAUGGAAUUUUCGUUAAAUUUCACAAUCUGGUGUUGUUAGGUGCAAACUGUGAUGUACGAAGAUCCAGGACUUGUGAAUGGACACCGCGGUGUUUGAUCAUCAAGGUUAAAUGUGAGAUGGAAUGGUGUUAACUGGCUUGCUAGAAUAAAAUUUUGACAACGGUUAUUGAAUGAUCCUUCAAAGCCACUGCAGUUAGUAGGCUCUAUAGAGUGACACCACAAUGGUGGUAAGGUCCUACAAGGCGACACCUCAAAAAAGGUUUAAUGAGCAAGACCAUAGCUCGACUAUGACAACCAGUGUAGUCCGCUAAGACAGUAGACACGUGGUAAUCUGUUAGGACAGUAAACAUGUGGUAAUUUGUCAGGACAGUAAACACGGAAUAGUCCGUCGAGACAGUAAACACAGGGUAGCCCUUCGCAACAGUAAACACGAGGUAGUUUGUCAGGACAGUAAACUCGGAGUAGUCUUCCGUAAUAGUAAACUUAGGGUAGUCCGUCGGGAUAGUAAACAUGGGGUAGUCCACUAGGACAUUAAACAUGGGGUACACUGUGUGAGACCAUAGCUUGGCUAUGGCGUCAAAUAAAGUAAGGUAGGAGGGUGAAUUAGGAAACAUACAAGGCAAAGAAAGAAGGGUCGUUCUAAGGCUAGUGUGGAAAACAACAUAGUUGAAUAGUUAUAAAACAUCUAAAAUUGUGAGUAAACGGAUUAGUAAGAGAAUUUGCCAUAUUAUAAAGAGGAGAAUAGCUGGUAGAAAUACCUGAAGAUGCGGGUAAGGUUGCUAGGAUAUCCGCCAAAUUGUGACGGAAAAAGUCGUAGCUCUCUAGUAGUUAAGCAUGUAAUAUAACGUCAAGUAUGAUAGGUGAGAUAAUAAAGUAAGACCUAAGCUAAUGGUUUUGGAGCAGUAAGUCCACUAGUGACUUAUUGAGAAAGAAAGGGAUAGGGUAAGACCUUACGGGUCUACCAUUGGUGUGGACCGCCAGGAAUACUUGGAUGGAAAAGUCUAUUAGAAGGACUAGAAAUAAAUGGGGCAAUUACAAGAAGUCUGGACCCAAGAGAGUAAAAACUCUAGGGGUUUCCUUUUUGGAUAUGAGUCCACCAGGAAAGGUGGGGGUUCUAACCCAUUCAGUCAACUGACUUCUUGAGUCCACAACUAAGAUGGGGUUCCGAUCAAAAAGUUAGGAGGGUCACUCGACCCGUGUUAGCAUCUACGAGAAAUUUGUGAUGAGGCAUAUUCUAUUGAGCUCAAUGGAGCUUGAGAUGACGUCAGACAGAAUUAAGACCUAUAAGGAAAAAAUGUUUGAAAAUGGUUUAGUAAGCAGUAAUGCCUCAAAUAGUAUGUUCGGAGGAAAACAAGUCAAUGGCUAUGAUAAAGGAGAUGUCGGAUCCUCUUACGGAUUUCAGGGAGUUUAUAGUUUGUCUCUUAAAUUUUCUAACCCUAAAUUUUCUAAUAAAAUAUUCCAUAAAAAUAAAAGCGCAGGAUCUCACUAAGUUCUCUUGAACUUAUAAAGUUCACUGCUGGUAUGCAGGGUAAAUGAUGACUCAGGGAUCGAGUGCAGGGCCUAAGCUAGACAUUGCUAGAUUCCAGUAAUGGCACACUAGUUGUUUCAUGUAUACAAAGGGGCACCCUUAGAGGUCACGCCUCGAGGAUUAAGUCAAAUAAGUCUGUGUUAGAAUCUAAGCUUUAAAUCUAUAAACAUCUAUUAAAAGUAUUAAAGGAAUAAAGUUGUAAGAAUUUGUUACUCGCAUGAUAUGAAGCUUAGUAGAAAUAAAAUUUUGAGAUUUGUCUGAGUACGUAUUUAAAUCAGAUUAGAAACAUGUUUAGAUAUUUGGGUUGAAUUGUGGCAUUUGGUACCCAGACCUAGCGAUCGGGUCGGGUAUUGGGUGUUAUAGCCAUAGUCGUUGCUGUAACACCCCCUACUCGUAUCCAUUGCCGGAAUAGGGUACGAGGCAUUACCAGAGUUUACUGAACAUUUUCAGAUAAUUCUGAGUCAUUUAUUAUUCAUAUUUUAGAAAUAAUCAUAACGUCUCUCUAUUGGGCCCUCGAAGCCCCAAACAUACAUUAGAAAACAACCGGAAUUAAAUCGGGAUUAUAAAAAAAAUCGCAAAAUCUUAAAUUUUAUUUUCAUCUAAGUACUUACUAUUUCAAUGCUCCUUAUAAUUAAACAUGUUACCGUUCAAUCAAUAGUUUGGCACUUGUCUAAGCGUCAAACAACAUCAUUGUUAGUAUACUUGCACACAUUUCAUCUAAAUUCAACAUUGAUAUACUUAUUUUCUCUACAUAUCGCACUUGAGUUUAAUAAUAGUCUCAACUUACAUAAUUUCCUUGUAUCAACAUAUCAAAGAUAAUCAUAUAUGUACAUGUCAUGAAACAUAUCAUGCUCUUACCGUUUCUUCAUAAGCAUAUAUCAUUCAUUUUAUUAUAUCAAUAUUUCAUGCUCCAUCAUUUCCAUUUAUUUUAUGUAUAUUUAUUCCGGUAAUAGUUUAUAUCAAACUUGACAUAAAUUAUAUUCCAUGUACUUAUACUUAUUUCGCUUAUUUAUCUUCAUAAUUAUUUCAUACAACUAAUUUGUACAUAUAUUUCCAUAUGGCCAGUUCUUGUAAACAUUUCACACAACCAUUUCAUAUAACCAUUCGUCAUCUGAUAAGUAUUACCUGAAUAUCAAUUGUUCAAUAGAUGUCAUAGCAUCUCCCAUCCACAGUCUUAUUUAUCUUUGACAUGAUGCCAUAGUGUCUUUCAACUAUGGUCUUACUCAUUCAUUUUCUGUCACGUUGCCAUAGUAUCUUUCAACCAUGGUCUUACACAUUUCAUAUCAUGUUGCCAUAGUGUCUUUCAACUAUGGUCUUACACAUUUCAUAUCACGUUGCCAUGGUAUCUUUCAACCAUGGUCUUAUACAUUUCAUAUCAGGUUGUCAUGGUAUCUUUCAACCAUGGUCUUACACAUUUCAUAUCAGAGAGCACACUCCCGCGAACCUCAUCCUUACAGUGGGAUUACCAGUCCAGGCUAAAUCCCCUGCAAUGACAAUUACUCUAAUGAGCUUGGAUCUGAAUUACCAGUCCAGGCUAAAUUCAGACCCUAAUUUGGAUUACCCGUCCGGGCUAAAUCCAUUUUACACGUAUUCUUCGGGAGGGCUGUAUCAGAAUAGGAUCACCCGUCCGGGCUAGAUCCUUUUUACCGUCAAUUCCUUUUUAGAGAUCCAUCGAAUUUUCCUUUCAUUCAGCCGAGCUUUAUUUUCAAUUUAUAUCGAGUAUUAGCAAUAUUUCAUCAAUUAUCAUGAAUUGAACAUUCAAAUCAUAUUUUCAUCACAUAACCACAUAUUUCAAGUAUUUAAAAUACAAUUCAAGUUACACAAACUUACCUCAUUGCUUGUUGUGUUUAUAAUUUCAUUAAUCCGAUAUCUUUUAUUUUCCACGAUCAAGUCUCAUUUUUGAGUCGUCCGGAUCUUUAUAAAUAAAUUUGAUCAUCAUUUUCAUUCAUUUCAUAUUCUAAUGCAUUUAAUUAAUGCUCUAGGAAAAUUACCAUUUUACCCCUAAACUUUUAAUUAAUGACGAUUUCAUCCUUAGGGUCAAGAAAAUAAAAUUAUUGCAAUUUAAUCCUUAUUUCUAGAUAUUAUUCUCAUACAUAUUGAUAACAAUCCAUGAAUUCUAUAAAAUAUCAGAAUUUUCCAUAAUUUCAACAUUUUUCAAUUUAAUCCCUAAAACAUGUUUUCCCCCGAUCUUGAACUAAAUUAAUAAUUUCAUUUAAUUUUGUAAUUUAAAUAAUAAAAUAAUCCAUUUCAUGCAAUUUGGUCAUUUCUGAUAUUUUUACAAAAUUACCCAUAAAGUUUUACUUUUAUUCAAUUUAGUCCCUGAGCCUAAAACAUGCAAAUUAGCCAUGCUAGAUGAAUAUUCAUACAUAUUUUUCCUCCUCCUCCUCUCCAUUCCACAUCCUUAGUGUAUAUAACACACUUGUAAGUAACAUUAUCUAUAAUUUUUAUUAUUUACUUUUAUGAAUAUUCAAGUUGUCCAUCUGUGUCAUAGUCACUAAAUUAUUUAUAACUCGAGCUACUAAACUCCAAAUUAAGAUCCGUUAAUUUUUCAUGAAACUAGACUCAUAUAUAUUCUUAACAUAAAAUUUUCAGAAUUUUUAGUUUAGCCAUUAGGUACAAUUUAUUCUUUAAAUUCACCUCUAUUCUGCUGUCUGACAGUUCCGACCCUUCUUCACUAAAAAUGAAUUAUCUCACAGUACAGAACUCGGAUAAUAUUCCCGUUGAUUUCUUAUGAAAAUUUACUCAUUAUGAAUUCUAAAAAUAUACUUUAAGCCUCUAAUUAUUUUUCUUCAAUUUUUGGUUAUUUUUCAAAGUCAGAACAGGGGAACCCAAAUUCAUUCUGACCUUGUCUCACAAAAUUUAGUAUAUCUCAUAAUUUACAAUUCAAUUGCUUACACCGUUUCUUUUAUAAGAAACUAGACUCAAUAAGCUUUAAUUCCAUAUUUUAUUAAUCCUAUAAUUCAAUUUAUAAAAUUUUUGGUGAUUUUUAAAACUUAGACUACUGCUGCUGUCCAAAAUAGUCUUAGUGCAAAAUGUUGAUUUUCUACUUUUAAUUUCAAUUUAAUCCUAACUAAAUUCACUUACUUUUCUAUCUUAAUUCAUACUUUAUUUCUACUCAAUUUUUAACUAAACUCAUACUUAACUAUUAAAUUUCCAGCAUAUUUUCCUAAUUUCGAAAUUUCAUCAAUUUAGUCCCUACAACAUAAAACUUAUGAAUUAAUUUACAAUUCAAUCCUUAUUUCAUUUCUAACUUGAAUUCCUAUCAAUCUAACCCCUAAUUCAUCUUUUAUUUCAACAUGAACAAUAUUUAAAAAUCUAAUAACUUUCAAAAUAUUCACUUAAUUUCAUCAAAACCUUGUCCCAAGGCUUCCAUAACAUCAAAAUUAAGUAAAAAGGGCUAAAUUGACUUACCUAUUUAACUUUCAAGCCUUGAAAUCUCAAUUUUUCUCUUUUUCCUUCUUUCCUUUUUUUCCUUCUUUCUUUCCCCUGCUCUCUGUUUCGUUUCAUCAUUUCUUUCUUUUU
rnacentral:lncRNA from 1 species